AACGAACGCUGGCGGCACGCCUAACACAUGCAAGUCGCGCGAGAAAGUUCUUCGGAAUGAGUACAGCGGCGCACGGGUGAGUAAUGCAUAGGAACGUACCUAUAGGUGGGGAACAACCAAGCGAAAGCUUGGCUAAUACCGCAUAAUCUCGCAAGAGUAAAGAUGGCCUCUACUUGUAAGCUAUCGCCAAUAGAGCGGCCUAUGCCCCAUUAGCUAGUUGGUAGGGUAAUGGCCUACCAAGGCAACGAUGGGUAGCUGGUCUGAGAGGACGGACAGCCACACUGGAACUGAGACACGGUCCAGACUCCUACGGAGGCAGCAGUGGGGAAUCUUGCACAAUGGGGGGCAACCCUGAUGCAGCGAUGCCGCGUGAGUGAAGAAGGCCUCGGUUGUAAGCUCUUUUGUCUAGGGAAGAAACGGUGAGUUCUAAUACAGCUUGCUAAUGACGGUACCUGAAGAAUAAGCACCGGCUAACUACGUGCCAGCAGCCG
rnacentral:rRNA from 1 species